GGUCAUCCUGGGGUCACCCUGGGGACAGUCUAGGGAAGGAGAAGGCCGUGGCAACAGGGGGGAGGUGAGAAAGGGGGUGGGGAAAAUGGCAGCUGAGGGACUGGCCAGGAGCUGCUAUCCUUUGUCUGCCUGGCUUUUACGCGUGUGUGGGGACAAAGCCUCUCUGCUAGAAAGGGCUCCUUUUCCCUAGAGAUCUGCGGUGUGUGAGUGUGUGUGUGUGUGUGUGUGUGUGUGUGUGUGUGUGUGCGCGCGCACCGCGCCUACCCCUCUCCGAGGCUCUGGUGGGAAUGACUCAGCAACACAGCCAAGCCUGCUCCAUUCUGCCAGCUCCAUGCAUCUGCCACCCGUCCUCGGCCUUGUCCUGCUUCUUAUCCCUGCAGCACCCACACAGCUGGCCCACAGGCCUGACUCCCUGAUGCCAGUCACAAAGCCGGAAGCCAUCCUGGGGUGGGGCUGCCUCAGACCCUCCCUCAGCUCUCACCCUGGCCCCUUCCAGCUGCUUCUCUAUGCAUGGGGGUCCUCACAGGACCUCGUUCACCACUGCCCAGUGAGGACGCACUCUGACUGUCCUCAUCCACAGAUUCAGAAAAGGAGCACCACCAGGCCACCCCCCAUUUGUGCCCUCUACUGAGGGAUAGGUCUGUCCCCAGGGCUAAAGUUACCAGCACGGACACUCACUAAAGGACCGCAGCAGCAGCAAUGAAGAGAAACAGCUAGAAACAACCUGUGCUCAUCCGGAAAGAUGCUUCCUGUAAAUCACUGUGCAUCUGCAGGGCAGGACCCCCAGCAGCCACUGGAGAGGCUAGGCGCUGUCUGUGCACGAAUUGGACUCGAGUUUUAACUAGGCAAAGAGCCACCUGGAAUAAAGACUUAUCUCCUAAUCAUCUUUGCAUGUAGAUUUGCUCACGUGACUAUGUCCCAGCAAAUGGGAGCCAAAUGGAAGUAUGAGUAAGUUCCAAAGAGUGCCCUAGGGGACAGAGAUAUGCCUUUGCUCAUGCCUUCUUUCCCCCAUUCUGCUGAUGAGAUGGUGACUUGAUGGCUAGCCACUGAGCAGCCUGGGUUUGUUUUUCUUUUGGUACCAGGGAUCGAACUUGGGUCCUUGCACUUGCGCAGCAGGAGGCGAAACCACUGAGCUAAAUCCCUGGCCCUGAGCAGCCUGUUUGGACCAUGAAUUGAAAGGUACAUACUAGAGAAUGGUAGGUAAAUUAUAUACAAGGGGGCUGAGUCCUAAUAUCAUGAAGGACCAGCCCUGUGCUGCUGCUUCAACAUGAGAACAAGAAGGACAACUGAGGUUUCAGGGAACAGGGAGCUAGGGAGAGCCUGGGUCCCUCUUGACAAUGUAGAGUGGCCAUAUUAACUCUGGGGCUUCCAUUACAUGAGAGGAGACACAUACUAUCUUAGGCAAGCCACUAUCUCCUUAGGUAUCCUGUCCCUUCCCAGCCAUCGAACCCCAAGUGAAAGCCAUGAGCCAGCUCCUCCAGGAUGAGGGUAGGGGAGAGCCUGCUAAGCUUUUCCCCCUCCCUGUCCUUGGGGAGUGCUCAGUCAGGAAGGGGCCUAGGAGCUAGGAAGGGGGAGGCAAAGCCUCUUUUCCUCCAGUCCCAGAGGAAUGGGAUGAGUGUGAUCCUGAAAUGAGAUGCAGGGCUUGGGUGUAGUUCAGAGGCAGAAUGUGUGCUUAGCCUGCCGAAAGUCCCAGGUUCCAUCCCUAGAAGCAAAAAAACAAAACAAACAAAACAGCAACCAUGUUAACUACUCUGGCCCCGGGGGAUUACAGGUAAUUUGAGGGUAGAGACCAGCACAAUGCAUAGCAUACAGUAGGUGCUCAAUAAACCUUUGCGGGCUAAUUAUGUGAUAUCCUGUAACCAGCACUCCCUCCACAGUGCAGCUCAGCCUCUCAGACCAACUGUGCAGCUCUGAGUUUUCUCAGUGGAGGAUGUCCCUCUGGGACAAGGUGAUUCAAAGCUUGCGACACAUGGUCAUGCUCAGGGUAGCACUGGCUCCUCACAACUCCAACAACAGGGGCUAUGACUGCAAUCUUCAGAGGAGAAAGCAAGGACCCGGAACUUGGAAACUGCUUGCUCAGGAUCAGCCACGAGGAAGUGCAGGAGCAGGAACUUGAACCCCGGGUUUUGAAUGAAAAACUUCACCUACCUGAAACAAAGGCUGCACAUGAGAUUCUUACACAAAGGCACCCUUUUCCCAACUGCUCAUCCCAACACGGAGGCCCUGGGUCAGGUUUGUGACGUCCUGAGGUGCUGAAGGGGUGGGACAAGGGAGGGGAAAGCUGUCAGGCAAUCCCUCAGCAGCUUGGAGGUCUGGGAGACAGAUUCGACCAGCACUGGUGAUAGCCCAAACAGUGCAUUUGCACAAACAGAACAAGGAACAGAAACUCGAGUUGCUUUACUGCCAUCUACUGGAAAUUUGUCAUAAUAAUCAUUCAAAUUUGUGGUAAAUGGGGAAAAAAAAAGAAGCCUCCCUAGAAUCAUACAGUGUAGAACCUGAACAACAUGUGGAGCAGCCCUAGAUGCACCUUUUCUCACUUGAGAGCAUGAAAAAAAAAAAAAAAAGACCCAUCACCAUGGAGGCUCCAGUCCUGUCUGCUUCCUUCUUGCAUGAGAGUCCCUGGCUCAUCCAGAGGUGCUACAGCCAUCUGCCUGCCCUAGUUUCACCAUGAGACCCAGUAGAAUCCAUGCAUCCUUCCACCCGCUCCAGGCACACGUCCCAGACACCUACGCUGGGCCAGGUACUUAUCUGAAUUUUUCACCAAUUACUAGCUGUGCGUACUUGGACAUUUUCUUAGGCUACUGUCUACUCUUCAGUAUGAAGGGAUAAUAACCCAGCUGGCACUGUGAAUGAGACUUAAGUGAGAUAAUAUAUGUAAAGUCCUAGAAGCCAGUGGCUGACCCUGGACCUACUGCCAGCACCAUUAGAUCUGAGUUACACACAUGCAUGCAUGGGUGGCCAAAGGGAAGACAGGCUCUGGCACAUCUUCCCUCAGAAACAAUCAGGAAACUGUGGCACAAAUGCAUGAAUAUAAAGUUCUCAGUGUGAAGCUGAGCCCAGAGCACAGUGAGUGCCUGGGCACUGGCUUUUCUCCUUUUCCUCUAGUCCUGGCUGGAUCUGAAGCUGGCUAGGUGAGUUCAGGGUCCCUUUGAUUCCCAGGGAGAGAGAACAGUUGCAAGUUUCCUUUACCUGCAGGAAGAGGCUUCCAGACUACUGUGUGGCCAAGCCUCUGGACACCUCCAUGUCUGGCUCAAAGCAAGGCCACAGACCCAUAGAGUUUUAGUUUCUUCAUCCAUGAAAUGAAGCCAGUCAUAUUUACUUUGUAGCCAUUUAGGUAAUGCAAGAAGUAACUAAAAGGCCUCCAACCAUGCUGGAAACAAGCUAAACACAAAAUAAAUUAGAGAUGCAAUCUCAGCUCUGGGACCCAGGGGGCGUCUGGAGCCAGCUGAAGGAUUCUAUUCUCUGCCAUCAAACUGCCUACCACAAUUGGCAUGAGCACUUGAAAUUGCAGGUCCUAAAACUGAUGAGGAGGCAGGAUUGAGCUCACUCCAUCUCGCUCCUCCUAUGGGAGGGAAGUUGGUACACACUUUCCAGUGGGUAGGUAGGCAACAGGAUCCUUUUGACCCAGCCAUUUCAUUUCUAGGAAUUCAGCUAAGGAAAUAGUCACAGGCCCCUCAGAGUGUUGUGCUAGGACAUUCAUUGCAAUGUUGCUAAUAAUAGUGAGAAACUGGAAAUAAUCUAAAGUUAGAGACACAUUCAAUACACAUCUUGGCUGGAUGCCAAAUGGUCAAGUGCUAAGAUCAGUACUCAGCAGAAGCCAAGGCCAACGCUUUCCACCAUCUUCAUGCAGCCAGUGUCUUUGGUAAAGGAGUGAAUUUCAAGAAAAUGUUAUCAGACUUUGCAGUGCCAACAUCCUAAUCGACAUGUUUCACUGCCAGUGUUUGACAGUCUAACGUUACAGCUCAAGAACAGCAUUUUCUCAGUAUUAGCAGAAGAUGGAUUGUUUCUAUGUUAAAUACUGUGCACAUUUGUGUUAAUAAAUUGAUGCUUACAUUGACUGAUGCUUGUGGGAGAGUGUGACGGCCUCAUUUUUUCCCAAUACUUUCUUCUUUUCUCCAUAUUCUGUAUAUUCUUUCCCAUGUUGGGUUAAAUAUGAUUUGCCACAGAAAUAUUGAUCAAAAACUAUAGUCAAUGUUUAAAUAAAAAAUUAUUACAGAAAAGACACAUUGUCAUUAGUCCCCCUCACUUUGAACACACUUAUUCUAUUAUUCUUGCCACUUUCUGAAGCAGUUCUAGAAGUCUUCUUUUGUGAGUGUUUUUUUGUGUGUGAGUGCGUGUGUGUGCCUGCCUCAAUGUCCUGAACUAAUUAAAAAUGUUUACAGCAACUUCUGGCAAAUAAAAACAUUGCAGUGUGUCCUCAUCCACCUUACUUGUCAGAUCUAGCACCGUGAGGUUUCUGGUUCUUCCCCAAAGUCAAAAUGAUCAUGAAAGGUAAAUGUUUUGAACCAAUUCAAGAGAUUGAGGGACAGCCACAACAGUGCAAAUAAAGACACUCACAAAAGAAGACUUUCAGAACUGCUUCAGACAGUGGCAAAAAUGAUGGGAGAAGUGUGUUCCAAAGAGGAGGAGUAUUCUGAGGGGAAUUAAUGG
rnacentral:lncRNA from 1 species